GACGAGGUGGCCGAGUGGUUAAGGCGAUGGACUGCUAAUCCAUUGUGCUCUGCACGCGUGGGUAUGAAUCCAAUCUUCGUCG
rfam:Ciona savignyi cont_28259, whole genome shotgun sequence.